GUGAGGAAUAUUGGUCAAUGGGCGGGAGCCUGAACCAGCCAAGUCGCGUGAAGGAAGAAGGAUCUAUGGUUCGUAAACUUCUUUUGCAGGGGAAUAAAGUGCAGGACGUGUCCUGUUUUGUAUGUACCCUGAGAAUAAGGAUCGGCUAACUCCGUGCCAGCAGCCGCGGUAAUACGGAGGAUCCGAGCGUUAUCCGGAUUUAUUGGGUUUAAAGGGUGCGUAGGUGGUUUGAUAAGUCAGCGGUGGAAGUUUGCAGCUUAACUGUAAAAAUGCCGUUGAAACUGUCGGACUUGAGUGUAAAUGAGGUAGGCGGAAUGCGUGGUGUAGCGGUGAAAUGCAUAGAUAUCACGCAGAACUCCGAUUGCGAAGGCAGCUUACUAAGCUACAACUGACACUGAAGCACGAAAGCGUGGGGAUCAAACAGGAUUAGAAACCCUAGUAGUCC
rnacentral:rRNA from 1 species